GUAGUCGCCCUCCGUCGUGGCCUGGCGUGGAUUCCGAGCGUUGGUGUCUGGCGGUUUCCGACCGUUGGUGUCUGGCACGCGCCACCCCGAUGUACCAGGUAAAGCCCUAUCACGGGGUCGGCGCCCCUCUCCGUGUGGAGCCCACCUGCAUGUACUGGCUCCCCAACAUGCACGGCAGGAGCGGCGGCCCAGCACUCGGCACUGGCCACUUGCAGACAAGAAGACAAGAAAAUGAUUUGAGGACAGCUUCAAUCGCGGUGUGAAGAAGAAAGCAACAAAACGACCACUGAAAACAAUGCCGGUGGCAAAACAUCCAAAGAAAGGGUCCCAAGUGGUACAUCGUCAUAGCUGGAAACAGUCAGAGCCACCAGCCAAUGAUCUUUUCAAUGCUGCGAAAGCUGCCAAAAGUGACAUGCAGUGUGGCCAUGAGGUCUGCCGGAAGUGACUUGUUGGUGUUAUCUCCUGAGUUAAAAUGUGAAGGGAUUUUUUUUUUUCAGAUUACUGAGAGUCUUCAGUUACUAGAGGCGGAUUUCCCUGACUGAAGACCAUGUUGCAGGCCCACAGCUGCCUACAGAACCGUCCCAAAAUAUGGCAAAGAAACCUAUUCUGAGCGAUAGGGUCUCACCAUGUUGCCCAGGCUGGUCUUGAACUCCUGGACUCAUCCUAAAGUGCUGGCCUCUCAUUCCCUGUCUGUGCACACCUCACGGCAAGGGCCAGCCUGUUUCCUCCCGGUCACCUCCAAAUCUUGCUGCUUUUAAUUCAACUCAGAGGCCUAGCCAGGGUUGAGUUCUCACCCACCUGUGCCGCCCUGCCUUGUUA
rnacentral:lncRNA from 10 species